rnacentral:misc_RNA from 1 species
GCCAACCGGAACAGCAAAUAACGGUGAGGUCUUCCACCACAACAGUGAAACUCGAAAGGCGAUAUAGAACUCCUUGUAGGUAGAGAUAGGACAGUGACGAACGUCUCUAUGGUUUCAAGAAACUAUCUCAAAAUACUUAUGUGUAGCGAUAUGGUUGGAAACUUGUAGCGAUAUUCCUCCGUAACACCUUUCUCUUUACUCCCUUUUUAUCUAUAUUUUCUUUCUUUCCCCUUUUUUCUAUCUAUUUCAACUGAAGGGAGAGCAUCCUUUUUAUAGGGGUGUCGGCAGAAAAAGAAACGAAGAAGGAAAAAGAUCAAAAAAAAUGAGGGAAGAAUCGUAUUUUCCCUUGUUCCUCUUCGCCGUUGAGGAGGGACUGCUCAUGCGCCUAAAGAAUGAGGGAAAUACGUAGGGAAAGGGAUCGAACACGCGUGAAGAGGAGGGAGGGUGAGGAUCGUCCAGCGCUACUGCUGGAGAUCUUUGGCGAAGAGGAAGAAGGGGAAAUUGGA